rnacentral:rRNA from 1 species
UACGUAGGGUGCAAGCGUUAAUCGGAAUUACUGGGCGUAAAGCGUGCGCAGGUGGUUGUGUAAGCUUGAUGUGAAAUCCCCGGGCUUAACCUGGGAAUGGCAUUGAGGACUGCACGGCUAGAGUGUGGCAGAGGGGGGUGGAAUUCCGCGUGUAGCAGUGAAAUGCGUAGAGAUGCGGAGGAACACCGAUGGCGAAGGCAGCCCCCUGGGUUAACACUGACACUCAUGCACGAAAGCGUGGGGAGCAAGCAGG